AAAAUGACUCUCGGCAACGGAUAUCUCGGCUCUCGCAUCGAUGAAGAACGCAGCGAAAUGCGAUACUUGGUGUGAAUUGCAGAAUCCCGCGAACCAUCGAGUCUUUGAACGCAAGUUGCGCCCAARGCCUUUCGGCCGAGGGCACGUCUGCCUGGGUGUCACGC
rnacentral:rRNA from 1 species